rnacentral:rRNA from 1 species
UAACGCGUGAGGAACCUGCCUCAAAGAGGGGGACAACAGUUGGAAACGACUGCUAAUACCGCAUAAGCCCAUGGCUCGGCAUCGAGCAGAGGGAAAAGGAGCAAUCCGCUUUGAGAUGGCCUCGCGUCCGAUUAGCUAGUUGGUGAGGUAACGGCCCACCAAGGCGACGAUCGGUAGCCGGACUGAGAGGUUGAACGGCCACAUUGGGACUGAGACACGGCCCAGACUCCUACGGGAGGCAGCAGUGGGGAAUAUUGCACAAUGGGGGAAACCCUGAUGCAGCGACGCCGCGUGGAGGAAGAAGGUCUUCGGAUUGUAAACUCCUGUUGUUGAGGAAGAUAAUGACGGUACUCAACAAGGAAGUGACGGCUAACUACGUGCCAGCAGCCGCGGUAAAACGUAGGUCACAAGCGUUGUCCGGAAUUACUGGGUGUAAAGGGAGCGCAGGCGGGAAGACAAGUUGGAAGUGAAAUCUAUGGGCUCAACCCAUAAACUGCUUUCAAAACUGUUUUUCUUGAGUAGUGCAGAGGUAGGCGGAAUUCCCGGUGUAGCGGUGGAAUGCGUAGAUAUCGGGAGGAACACCAGUGGCGAAGGCGGCCUACUGGGCACCAACUGACGCUGAGGCUCGAAAGUGUGGGUAGCAAACAGGAUUAGAUACCCUGGUAGUCCACACCGUAAACGAUGAUUACUAGGUGU